CGAAAGUCUGACGGAGCAACACCGCGUGGUUGAUGACGCCUUUAGGGGUGUAAAGACCUUUUCUGAGUGAAGAACUCUGACGGUAACUUAGGAAUAAGCACCGGCUAAAUCCGUGCCAGCAGCCGCGGUAAUACGGAUGGUGCAAGCGUUACCCGGAAUCAUUGGGCGUAAAGCGUCCGCAGGCGGUUUGUUAAGUAAGAUGUUAAAUUUUUCAGCUCAACUGCAAAACUAUAUCUUAAACUGGCUAACUAGAGUAUUGGAGAGGUGAGUAGAAUUCUGUGUGUAGGGGUAAAAUCCGUAGAUACACAGAGGAAUACCAAAAGCGAAGGCAACUCACUGGCCAAUUACUGACGCUCAUGGACGAAAGCGUGGGGAGCG
rnacentral:rRNA from 1 species